UAAGACGAACCGUGCGAACGUUGUUCGGAAUCACUGGGCUUAAAGGGCGCGUAGGCGGACUGCCAAGUCGGGGGUGAAAUCUUUCGGCCCAACCGGAAAAGGGCCUCCGAUACUGGCAGCCUCGAGGGGGGUAGGGGCCGACGGAACUUCCGGUGGAGCGGUGAAAUGCGUAGAUAUCGGAAGGAACGCCGGUGGCGAAAGCGGUCGGCUGGACCUCUUCUGACGCUGAGGCGCGAAAGCCAGGGGAGCGAACGGGAUUAGAUACCCCGGUAGUCCUGGCCCUAAACGAUGGGUACCAGGUUGUGGGCUAGACAUGGGCUCACAGCCGAGGCAAAAGUGUUAAGUACCCCGCCUGGGGAGUAUGGUCGCAAGGCUG
rnacentral:rRNA from 1 species